rnacentral:rRNA from 1 species
AGUGAACGCUGGCGGUAGGCCUAACACAUGCAAGUCGAACGGCAGCACAGUAAGAGCUUGCUCUUACGGGUGGCGAGUGGCGGACGGGUGAGGAAUACAUCGGAAUCUACUUUUUCGUGGGGGAUAACGUAGGGAAACUUACGCUAAUACCGCAUACGACCUACGGGUGAAAGCAGGGGAUCUUCGGACCUUGCGCGAUUGAAUGAGCCGAUGUCGGAUUAGCUAGUUGGCGGGGUAAAGGCCCACCAAGGCGACGAUCCGUAGCUGGUCUGAGAGGAUGAUCAGCCACACUGGAACUGAGACACGGUCCAGACUCCUACGGGAGGCAGCAGUGGGGAAUAUUGGACAAUGGGCGCAAGCCUGAUCCAGCCAUACCGCGUGGGUGAAGAAGGCCUUCGGGUUGUAAAGCCCUUUUGUUGGGAAAGAAAAGCAGCAGGUUAAUACCCCGCUGUUCCGACGGUACCCAAAGAAUAAGCACCGACUAACUUCGUG